GAUCCUGGCUCAGGAUGAACGCUAGCUACAGGCUUAACACAUGCAAGUCGAGGGGCAGCAUUUCAGUUUGCUUGCAAACUGGAGAUGGCGACCGGCGCACGGGUGAGUAACACGUAUCCAACCUGCCGAUAACUCGGGGAUAGCCUUUCGAAAGAAAGAUUAAUACCUGAUGGUAUAAUUAGACCGCAUGGUCUUGUUAUUAAAGAAUUUCGGUUNUCGAUGGGGAUGCGUUCCAUUAGGCAG
rnacentral:rRNA from 1 species